GCUCCACAGUGCAUUCGCGUUUUCGGUCUGGGUGGGUCCCUCUGUGUGGCUUCGUACAUCACGGCUGGCACUGUACUUUUUUUUUUAGUACGGAUCUCUCCCCGUGUUUUUGGGGGGUCCGGUGGGGGCUACCAGCGAGGAGCCGAGGCGCCGGCGCGGGCGGGCGCGGGCGCGGGCGCGAGCCGGGGCGGGUGCUGGUGCUGGUGCGAGUCGGCGCGGGCCGGGUGCGAGCCGACGCGGGCCAGGCACGGGUGAUGUGGCUCCCCGCAUCUCUCUCUCUCCGAUCUCCCUACGCAGAUCCGCCGGGAUCCGCGGCGCGAUCUGCGGCGUUUUUUUUUCCCUUCCGUGCUGUUCCCCUCUCUUUCUCUCUCUGCAACCCGCCGUCCGAUCUACCUGUCGGGAUCCGCGGUCUCUCCGACCUCCCGCCGUGAUUCGCGGCACGAUUCUCGCCGGUUUGAGAUCUGGCGAGGAUCUCUUGGCCACCGCCUCGCCCCCGCCUCUCUCUCUCCUAUCCCGGCUCUCUCUCUCUGAUCCCGCCUCUCUUUCUCUCCGACCUCUCUCCGAUCACCCCACAGGAAUCCGCGCUCGCAUUUAGGUAAACAAACAAAGAAAAAAUCUCUCUCCACUACACUCCCUCUUCUCCUCAUAUUCCUCUCCCUACAACUCCUCUCCCUACAACUGCUGCUGCUGCUGCUGCUGCUGCUUCAUUUGCUCCUCCUUUAGCUCUCUUUGGGCCUCGAAUGCAAAGGAAUGGGGUAUCAGAAUCUGCUGAAGAAGAUGGUUGUUUCCUCAUCCAUGGGGAUCAAUUUGGGAUGCAUAUGUGCUAACUAUUAGUUCUAAGAAAAAUGGGUUUUUUAUUGCUCAUAGCAAUCUCAUAGAUGGGAUUUAGUAGUUGUUGGCUUUGCUCAGGAGUUGAACAAUUGGAUUCAUUUAGGUAUUAUAUUGAUGAGGUUAGCUUGGAUUUAAUUUCUUUGAUGCUGGUAGAAAUAGUGCUCUUUGAUCCAAUAAAGGAGGCAUUCUAUGCCUUUUUUUCCUUCUCAGAUUUGAUAAUAGAUUAGGAUGAUUCACCUGUUUGAUGAUGCACGGUUUCACAUGAAAAAAAACAAAAAGACAUUUCUGAUGAUGGCCUCCUCAGUCGCCAUCGUCGUCGCCGCCGCCUCCUCCUCCUCCUCCUUCGACGAGCUCGAUUCCGAGGGCGACUCCCCUCGCGGCUCCUCCAAGGUGAGCGGUAGCAAUUCCUCCCUUCGGAUUCUCCGCCUUCAUGGUUUUGUUUAGUCUUUGGAUCUGAAUUAAUCUUUAGUAGCACAAAUAUUUGUGCAAAUAUUAUUUUAUUAUGUUGUUUAGCAUUUAUUGUUGUGUGUUCACGGUAAAUUUUGUUGUCCGCCGCGAAGCGCGGGUACUUAUCUAGUAUUUUCUUUA